UGGGCUGAUUUUUCGGAAUAA
ensembl:piRNA 21ur-708 ncRNA